GGAGGGAUACUCAAGCCUGGUUUAAGAGGAUUGCCUUUUUAGGCAAUUAGGAGCAGUAAUGCUUGCGUUGGUUCAAAUCCUUCUCCCUCCG
rnacentral:tRNA from 3 species